rnacentral:rRNA from 1 species
UACAGAGACUGCAAGCGUUAUUCGGAUUCACUGGGCGUAAAGGGUGCGCAGGCGGCCAAGUGUGUCAGGUGUGAAAUCCCGAGCUUAACCCUGGAACUGCGCCUGAAACUACUUGGCUAGAGUACUGGAGAGGGUAACGGAAUUCACGGUGUAGCAGUGAAAUGCGUAGAUAUCGUGAGGAACACCAGAGGCGAAGGCGGUUACCUGGACAGUUACUGACGCUCAGGCACGAAAGCGUGGGGAGCAAAAGGG